AGAGAGUUCAUAGGACGUGAAACCGUUUGUAGGUAAACAGAUGGAACCACGAAGUUUGCUGAGGCGGAGAUUCAACUGUUCUGACUUGGACAGUCAAAGGUACCGUAUUUGGUUCUCUCAGGAGGGCAGGUGCCGGUGGCAAUCAAUGUCUGAGUUAGGCGGUGCAUUUCUUCAGUCUCAUGCUAAUGCCAUGACCAAUUAGAGGGCUAGUGCGUCCGUAAGCGACGGUCGCGAGCAGGUAACUGGGUACGGGUCUCCUGUACGCCAGUAUUAUAGCUCGUGGCCGGGUUUGCAGCACUUAGUGUACUGAUUGGCUCAAUUUCUCCACUUUUGUGGGGUUUGCAGUAAUGGGUGCGCACAGUAUUGUGGCCGAGGCCUUGUAUGUCUGUUUGUUUGUUUUGUACUUUCGUACGUAACAGCAGACUGGGCGUAUGGGUCUAUGCUGGCUAUGAUAGCUCUGUGUGUGCUUGCUUUGCAAUCGAUGGCUAGUAGGUCGGUAUCCAUCUGACCCGUCUUGAAACACGGACCAAGGAGUCUAACAUGUGCGCGAGUCACUCGGUCUUGAAUAGGCCAGAGAGGCGCAAUGAAAGUAAAGUUGAUUGAGUUACGAUCCUCAUGUUGUUAUUGCUUGUCGGUAACACUGGGGCGCAGUAACGGCCCGCCAGUUCCACUUAUUGUUGGUUUGGCGGAGUCAUAGCGUACACGUUGGUACCCGAAAGAUGGUGAGCUUUGCCUGGGCAAGACGAAGCCAGAGGAAACUCUGGUGGAGGUCUGUAGCGAUUCUGACGUGCAAAUCGAUCGUCAGAC
rnacentral:rRNA from 1 species